rnacentral:rRNA from 1 species
CAAUAGCGUAUAUUUAAGUUGUUGCAGUUAAAAAGCUCGUAGUCGGAUUUUGGCUGAGAACGAACGGUCCGCCGUUAGGUGUGCACUGUUUGGUCUCAGCUUCCUGGUGAGGAGGUGUGCUUCACGGCCACUUAGUCACCGUGGUUACUUUGAAAAAAUUAGAGUGUUCAAAGCGGGCUUACGCUUGAAUAUAUUAGCAUGGAAUAACACCAUAGGACUCCUGUCCUAUUUCGUUGGUCUCGGGACGGGAGUAAUGAUUAAGAGGAACAGUUGGGGGCACUCGUAUUUCAUUGUCAGAGGUGAAAUUCUUGGAUUUAUGAAAGACGAACUUCUGCGAAAGCAUUUGCCAAGGAUGUUUUCAUUGA